AGUUUGAUCCUGGCUCAGGGUGAACGCUGGCGGUAUGCUAACACAUGCAAGUCGGACGGACACCUUCGGGUGUCAGUGGCGGACGGGUGAGUAACGCGUAGGAAUCUACCCCUAGGAGGGGGAUAACAGCUGGAAACGGCUGCUAAUACCCCAUACAGGCGCGAGCUGAAAGGAGCAAUCCGCCUAGGGAUGAGCCUGCGUCGGAUUAGCUAGUUGGUGGGGUAAUGGCCUACCAAGGCGACGAUCCGUAGCGGGUCUUAGAGGAUGGGCCGCACACUGGGACUGAGACACGGGCCAGACUGCUACGGGAGGCAGCAGUGGCGAAUUU
rnacentral:rRNA from 1 species